UGGGGAAUCUUGCGCAAUGGGCGAAAGCCUGACGCAGCGACGCCGCGUGGAGGAUGAAGCUUUUCGGAGUGUAAACUCCUGUUGCCCGGGACGAAUCCCUUCUUCGUGGAGGUUGACGGUACCGGGUGAGGAAGCACCGGCUAACUCCGUGCCAGCAGCCGCGGUAAUACGGAGGGUGCGAGCGUUGUCCGGAAUCACUGGGCGUAAAGGGCGCGUAGGUGGCGCGGUAAGCGGGUGGUGAAAGUCCGGGGCUCAACCCCGGAUCGGCCAUGCGAACUGCCGCGCUGGAGCACUGUAGAGGCAGGUGGAAUUCCGGGUGUAGCGGUGGAAUGCGUAGAGAUCCGGAAGAACACCGGUGGCGAAGGCGGCCUGCUGGGCAGUUGCUGACACUGAGGCGCGACAGCGUGGGGAGCAAACAGGAUUAGAUACCCCCGUAGUCC
rnacentral:rRNA from 1 species